GAAUCGGCUCAAAAGAACGAUUCGUUCAAGAACCGAACAUCUCUAGUAUCGAGCACUAAAGAUAAACAAAGGAUAAUGCAUUAGAGCCUUUGAUGCGCGUGGCUUCGAAGAAAAACAAAAGUAGAACUCUCGUAACUUUUGCUUCGAUGAGUGGAUCUCAUUUUAGUGAACUUAGUAGUAGUUUAUUUUACUGAACACUUUCAAGGUAAAAGAGUGUGAAUGCAAAAAUAACUCAAGUGAACAGACUCAUAUGUCCUGACAUUCAAAUGUUUUCCAUCACCAUGGAAAGCGCGUGUAGAGUAUGUGCGCAUGCGUACGUGUCAGCAGCAGGACUGAACACACACGAUUGUUGCCAAAAUGUUAAAUGUCUUGUUUAACACAGGCAGAAAAAUUUAAGAGGAAAACACUGGAACAUGUUGGGAGGAAAAUGAUGCCCAUCAAACUGCAGUUUGAUCAUCAGAGGAGCAAGAACAAGAAGAUGAAGAACAAACAGGAAAAGUCACAAAUUAAAGGGUUAAGAGAUACAAAUACAGUGAAACCUGUUAGAUGGGACAGCAUGGAGCACGUGAGACCAGACUUCUCUUGUGAUCAAGCCGAAGAGUGUCAUUCUGAUCAAGCAGAGAAGGUCCAGGAUGAGCGCCUUUCAAGAAUCCAAGGACACUACACAAAAUAAUACAAGCAAUUGGCAAACAAAAUACACCUGACAAUCAGAGGGGACAUUCAGACACACAGGUGUUGACAACAAAGAACUACAGAUAUGCAAUCAGAUGAUGAUGAACAAUUAUGUCAAGAGGGUGCUCAUGUAACUUACAGAAAAGUUGGUAAACAGAGACACAGGAGGUACAUGGGUUAUUCACAGAACAAAGUGAAUAGAUGAGAUUUAAGUAUUUUUUAAUUCAUCAUCCUCAAAUGUAUUCUUUUUUGGUUUAUGUAGUUUUCUGUUGCCCUGUAUAUUAUUGAUUUGAAUGAGAUGCUGUUCUGUCGUUUGUCUGUUGUGUUGCAGUCUUACUGUCAGGUAUGACAUACAAUUGUGAUUUUGAAUUCUAUCACUGGAUUUAUUGCACUUUAUUUCCUGCACUUUUAACUCUUUUCUUUUUUUGAGAGUUAGGGAAAUGUCUCUUGUGAAGACUUGCAUUGCAUUACAUGAAACCAAAUCUGUUUUUGUGGGUCACAAAUCUUAGAGUGUCUUAGUUAGGGGGUUGAUAACAGGGAACACUUUUUUAUCUUGAUCUGGCAACCCUUCACUUGCAGCUUUAAUGAAGAGAACACGCUUGUGUGAAGGAAGAGUUCAGAAGAGAGCAGCACAUGAAGCUACUGUUAAUGAUGACUGGUCAGGAGUUAUUUAAUAGUGUUUUGAAUUACACACACAUUUUAACUAAAUUAUUUUCAGGCCCCAGGUUGGGAACCGUUGCCUUCAGAUGUCUCUUUAAAUCUUCAUAUCUUCACAAUCAUUUGUGACCCUGGACCACAAAACCAGUCAUAAGUGUCAAUUUUUCAAAACUGAGAUUUCUACAUCAUCUGAAAGCUGAAUAAAUAAUCUUUCCAUUGAUGUGUGGUUUGUUAGGAUCGCACAAUAUUUGGCUGAGAUACAACUAUUUGAAAAUCUGGAAUCUGAGGGAGCAAAAAAAUCAAAAUAUUGAGAAAAUCGCCUUUAAAGUUGUCCAAAUGAAGUUCUUAGCUAUGCAUAUUACUGAUCAUAAAUUAAGUUUUGAUAUAUUUACGGUAGGAAAUUCACUAAAUAUCUUCAUGGAACAUGAUCUUUACUUAAUAUCCUAAUGAUUUUUGGCAUAAAAGAAAAAUGGAUCAUUUUGACCCAUAUAAUGUAUUUUUGGCUAUUGCUACAAAUAUACCCCAGCGACUUAAGACUGGUUUUGUGGUCCAGGGUCACAUAUUUUAAUGACAUUUUAUAUAUUUUAACAUUGUUUUACAUUAUAAUUGACAUUCUUUCUACUGACUGUACUUAAUUUUCCAUAACCGUGUCAAACAUAUUAUUUGGUUUAUGAAAGGUGUCAAUAAAAGUUGUAAUAAUUACUCA